rnacentral:lncRNA from 1 species
AGCUGUAAAGAGAAUGUUAUGUAGUUAUCAAUCAUUUAUUAUGAUCAGUCUCUGAAGCCCUUGGACCAAAAACUCUUCUGGAUUGAAUUUGUCAUGCACCACAAUGGAGCCAAGUACCUGCUGCCACCUGCCCACAAGCUCACCUGGUUUCAGUACUGCUCUCUGGAUGUGCUGGCCUGCACAGCUCUUGUUACUCUCUUUGUCAUACUAUGAUGCUUGAUUAUCAAAAGUUUGUUAAGAUGAGAAAGAAGGAAAAGAGA